GACCACGAAAAAAAUGAGCCAGGACCUCUCUUUGCCGGCAGAAACCUUAAACUCCCUCUCCGCUGAAAAUCUCCGUCCAAUUUGUCUUUGGCGAACCCCUCUCCGCGGGCCACUGCGGUCGCUCAACUGUGGGGGGAUCGAGAUUCUUCGGCAAUCCACCGCCCGAUUGCCGCGCUUUGUAGGAAUCUGGAGCCGAUCUCGCCGGAUGGAUGGAUUCUAGAAGAUACAUGGCCUAUUCUCCCUCCCCCUCCUCCGUGCCCUAUUCACCCCACAUCUCCGGCAUACGCACCCCUAGCGGCGCCAUUGGUGAGCAGGAGAAGUAAGAUUUCACUCUUUCUGAGACCAUAUAUCCAUGUUGUUGGGAAAAAAAUUGAGUUUUGCAUAUAUUUUUUUUUCUUUAGAUUGUUUCUAUCCAUGUCUGUUGAUAAAUCAAGGAGCGUGUACUCGGCAAUUUUCCUGACCUCGUCUCCUUAUGCUUUAAAACUUUAUGGUUGGAAGUUGAGUUUCGACUUUGUUUUAUCUUGGAAUUACUUGAUGGAGUUAGUAAUUUUUACUAUUGUAUCUUCAUUUUUGUUAGAUCAUUUGGACUUAUUUUCAGAUCUAGAUCUUACUUUGAUCGAGAUGAACUGAUUCUUAUUCUGUUACAUUGUAAUGAGUUUAUAAUUGAUGCACAAUUGUUGCAAGGCCACAAGUCAUCUUCUUCUUUUUUGCAUAUCCAUAUUGUAUUUUUAGAGGCUAAUCACUAAACACUCAAGGGAAGAGGAUGCUUGUACUUAAAAAACAACGUUGCAGCGGAAUCCAGAGUUAGUAGUGUAUAAUUUUUUUUAAGAACAAACACACUCUGAUAGGUUAAUCACUAAACAAUUUUUUUAAUCAUAAGCUCUUGCAGUGCUCGAGCUGAUGCAGGUAUAAUUUUCCUUUGUUUUCAUUAAAAAAUAAGAUAACAAAAUAACUAUUACACCGUUUAUGUUGUGGAUUUAACUGCCAAAUAUAUCAGGGAUGACUAAGAUGUACUCUGAGCUUGAGGAUUUAUUUACAAGAUUCAUGGGUAAACCGGUGGCCAUCACCUUCGCCAUGGGAUACGUCACAAACUCUUUCAUAAUUCCUACUCUGACUGGAGAGAUCUGUGCCAUCCUCCUUUUUUGUGUGUGUUCCCUUGAAACUUAUUGUUGUUUUCUUAAUCAGACUGAUUUUGUUUCAGGGAGGUUUGGUCAUCAGUGACUCAUUCAACCACAACUUGAUCGUCAAUGGUGCUCUAGCAUCUGGAGCCGCAGUCCAGGUCUUCCAUCACAACAGUGAGCAUGAGAUGUUCGCUGAAAUGCUUGUUGGAUUGUAUUCUAUUUCAUGAGAGUUGUUUCUGAGAAAACAAAGAAAAAUUGAAGUAAUAGGCCCAUCGCACUUGGAAGAGGUGUUGAGGGAGUAGAUUGUGAAGCGGCAACCUGGAACUGCUCACGAACCAUGGAGGAAGAUCAUGAUCAUUGUGAGGGGAUUUACAGUAUGAAAGGGGAGUUCUGCAAGCUCCCUGAGAUAGUGGCCAUCUGCAAAAAGUACAAGGUUGAGGAAUUGUUUCUAUGAUUUAUCUAAAAGAUAAGGGCCUUAGAAGUUACAACCAAAGUAUUGGAUUAGUAGUCUGCCUUCCCAACUUGGGAUGAUGUGAAUACAGUCUCAUUUGCUUAUAGGACAGUUAUGAUCCUGUUCUCUUGUAGUGAUGAUAAUCCAUGCAAGGUUUGGAACAGACGGUGUUUUGCAGCAAUAAAAAAAACAACAGGUGUGCUAGAGAAGGUCAUCUAGAUGGCAUUACAUUUAUCGAUAGCCGUGGGGAUGGUCAUUACCUAAUAUCGAAUGGUAAAGAUCAAACUACAAAACUUUGGGACAUCUGGAAAAUGUCAUCCACUGUGAAGUUAUUCGUGCAAGACAAAAAAUCUGCAAAAGCUUGAUGAAGAUGAAGAAUAUGCUCAAAUUAUGGCAAGGAUAGAAGAAC